UACGUAGGGUGCGAGCGUUGUCCGGAAUUAUUGGGCGUAAAGAGCUCGUAGGCGGUCUGUCGCGUCGGCUGUGAAAACCUGAGGCUCAACCUCAGGCCUGCAGUCGAUACGGGCGGACUUGAGUACUGCAGGGGAGACUGGAAUUCCUGGUGUAGCGGUGAAAUGCGCAGAUAUCAGGAGGAACACCGGUGGCGAAGGCGGGUCUCUGGGCAGUAACUGACGCUGAGGAGCGAAAGCGUGGGGGAGCGAACAGG
rnacentral:rRNA from 1 species